rnacentral:rRNA from 1 species
CCUACGUGCGGCAGCAGUGAGGAAUAUUGGUCAAUGGGCGCGAGCCUGAACCAGCCAAGUAGCGUGAAGGAUGACUGCCCUACGGGUUGUAAACUUCUUUUAUAAAGGAAUAAAGUGAGGCACGUGUGCCUUUUUGUAUGUACUUUAUGAAUAAGGAUAGGCUAACUCCGUGCCAGCAGCCGCGGUAAUACGGAGGUUCCGAGCGUUAUCCGGAUUUAUUGGGUUUAAAGGGAGCGUAGAUGGGUUGUUAAGUCAGUUGUGAAAGUUUGCGGCUCAACUGUAAAAUUGCAAUUGAUACUGGCAGUCUUGAGUACAGUUGAGGUAGGCGGAAUUCGUGGUGUAGCGGUGAAAUGCUUAGAUAUCACGAAGAACUCCGAUUGCGAAGGCAGCUUACUAAACUGCCACUGACAUUGAUGCUCGAAAGUGUGGGUAUCAAACAGGAUUAGAUACCCUUGUAGUC